AUGAAAUUAUCAAUUUAUCAUUAUACAAAUAUAGUAAUGAUAAAUCAGUCAGUCAGUCAGGACAAGUUAUUUAAUACAUUGUACAGAUAAAAUAUAAUAGACUUAUUAUGAAGCGUGCCACGCUUAAGAAAAAGUCGAACGCAAGGACUUAAGACCGAAAUUUAACUUAUACAAAAUUGAACGAAAGAACAAAUACCAAGAUGUUGAUUUGCAUGUACAAAGUUUGAAUGAUAUACGUUUGAUGAACGAUUAAGUGAAGAAUUUAGUACUCGUGGAACAGUUAAAAGUGCUAAUAAGUAAUAAUUUAUUUGUUAUUUGUUUACCUAAUACAUUACUACAGGUACUUAAACCGUUUAGUAAAAAUACUAAUAGAAUAAAAUUAUUAUAUUGUUUCGGGUAGUGAUAGACAACGUUCGGAGUAAAUAGUUUGUACGUUUUUCAUUUCCGGAAGAAGUUACCAAGGCAAUCAUUGACAUAAAUGGUCACAUGGUGGUGGGUACAAAAAAUGUAUAUGUUGCAUUGGCUCAGCGAAAAUAAAGUCGCAAAGCCUGUAUUUUCAACGAAACACUGAAAUUAGAACGCAGUCUUUAAAUCUGGUAAAUAAACCACGUGAUUAAACCAUGAUUAUAAAUUUUUUGAUAUUACGAACUAUAAUAUUUUAGUCCAUAAUGAAGGUGUGAUAUAAUAUUAUUCGAUUGUGUUUACCGAUCAGGAAAUUCGAGUGUUACUUCGUUAUAACUCUACCUCAACGUUUCUACG